UACAGAGGGUGCGAGCGUUAAUCGGAUUUACUGGGCGUAAAGGGCGCGUAGGCGGUCGUAUGAGUGUGAUGUGAGAGCCCCGGGCUUAACCUGGGAAGUGCAUCGCAAACGACUUAACUGGAGUAGAUGAGAGGGUGAUGGAAUUUCCGGUGUAGCGGUGAAAUGCGUAGAGAUCGGAAGGAACGUCAAUGGCGAAGGCAGCCACUGGCAUAAUACUGACGCUGAGGCGCGAAAGCGUGGGGAGCGAACAGG
rnacentral:rRNA from 1 species